rnacentral:rRNA from 1 species
GGUUAAGCGACUAAGCGUACACGGUGGAUGCCCUGGCAGUCAGAGGCGAUGAAGGACGUGCUAAUCUGCGAUAAGCGUCGGUAAGGUGAUAUGAACCGUUAUAACCGGCGAUUUCCGAAUGGGGAAACCCAGUGUGAUUCGUCACACUAUCAUUAACUGAAUCCAUAGGUUAAUGAGGCGAACCGGGGGAACUGAAACAUCUAAGUACCCCGAGGAAAAGAAAUCAACCGAGAUUCCCCCAGUAGCGGCGAGCGAACGGGGAGGAGCCCAGAGCCUGAAUCAGUGUGUGUGUUAGUGGAAGCGUCUGGAAAGGCGCGCGAUACAGGGUGACAGCCCCGUACACAAAAAUGCACAUACUGUGAGCUCGAUGAGUAGGGCGGGACACGUGGUAUCCUGUCUGAAUAUGGGGGGACCAUCCUCCAAGGCUAAAUACUCCUGACUGACCGAUAGUGAACCAGUACCGUGAGGGAAAGGCGAAAAGAACCCCGGCGAGGGGAGUGAAAAAGAACCUGAAACCGUGUACGUACAAGCAGUGGGAGCCUCUUUAUGGGGUGACUGCGUACCUUUUGUAUAAUGGGUCAGCGACUUAUAUUCUGUAGCAAGGUUAACCGAAUAGGGGAGCCGAAGGGAAACCGAGUCUUAACUGGGCGUUAAGUUGCAGGGUAUAGACCCGAAACCCGGUGAUCUAGCCAUGGGCAGGUUGAAGGUUGGGUAACACUAACUGGAGGACCGAACCGACUAAUGUUGAAAAAUUAGCGGAUGACUUGUGGCUGGGGGUGAAAGGCCAAUCAAACCGGGAGAUAGCUGGUUCUCCCCGAAAGCUAUUUAGGUAGCGCCUCGUGAAUUCAUCUCCGGGGGUAGAGCACUGUUUCGGCAAGGGGGUCAUCCCGACUUACCAACCCGAUGCAAACUGCGAAUACCGGAGAAUGUUAUCACGGGAGACACACGGCGGGUGCUAACGUCCGUCGUGAAGAGGGAAACAACCCAGACCGCCAGCUAAGGUCCCAAAGUCAUGGUUAAGUGGGAAACGAUGUGGGAAGGCCCAGACAGCCAGGAUGUUGGCUUAGAAGCAGCCAUCAUUUAAAGAAAGCGUAAUAGCUCACUGGUCGAGUCGGCCUGCGCGGAAGAUGUAACGGGGCUAAACCAUGCACCGAAGCUGCGGCAGCGACACUAUGUGUUGUUGGGUA